GGGCCUCGUACUAGAUGGGGCCUCACCCGCAGUUUCGCGGCCUGCCCGAGCCCCGCGGACGCAAGCGCCGGGCUCCGUCCCCUCGAUCGCUUGCUAGCUGAUUUAAUAGCUGGCUAAACUCUCCGAGCACAGGUGCCAUAUUUGCAAGCAAUCUUUCCAGAUCAAAGGUCAUGUCAUCAACAAAGGGCAUCGACUUGGACAAAGUGGUGGAGGAGUUUACUUCUUUGCACAGGCUUCAUGAAAAGCUAAUCCAAGAGAAGGAAGGUCUAGAGAACGAAGUUGCUCUUCUGCAAAGAGAGUAUGAAUCAUCCAAGGAGAGACA